rnacentral:rRNA from 1 species
UGCGAUCUCAACUCAUACGUGACUACCCCCUUAAUUUAAGCAUAUUAAUAAGCGGAGGAAAAGAAACUAACCAGGAAGGGCGAAUUC